UACAGAGGUCCCAAGCGUUGUUCGGAUUCACUGGGCGUAAAGGGUGCGUAGGUGGUGGGGUAAGUCGGAUGUGAAAUCUCGGAGCUCAACUCCGAAAUGGCAUUGGAAACUACCCUGCUUGAGGGUCGGAGGGGGGACUGGAAUUCUCGGUGUAGCAGUGAAAUGCGUAGAUAUCGAGAGGAACACCAGUGGCGAAGGCGAGUCCCUGGACGACUCCUGACACUGAGGCACGAAAGCUAGGGGAGCAAACAGG
rnacentral:rRNA from 2 species